rnacentral:rRNA from 1 species
GGGUUGUGAGGUUAAGCGACUAAGCGUACACGGUGGAUGCCCUGGCAGUCAGAGGCGAUGAAGGACGUGCUAAUCUGCGAAAAGCGUCGGUAAGGUGAUAUGAACCGUUAUAACCGGCGAUGUCCGAAUGGGGAAACCCAGUGCAAUUCGUUGCACUAUCGUUAACUGAAUACAUAGGUUAACGAGGCGAACCGGGGGAACUGAAACAUCUAAGUACCCCGAGGAAAAGAAAUCAACCGAGAUUCCCCCAGUAGCGGCGAGCGAACGGGGAGCAGCCCAGAGUCUGAAUCAGCUUGUGUGUUAGUGGAACGGUCUGGAAAGUCCGACGGUACAGGGUGAUAGUCCCGUACACCAAAAUGCACAGGCUGUGAACUCGAAGAGUAGGGCGGGACACGUGGUAUCCUGUCUGAAUAUGGGGGGACCAUCCUCCAAGGCUAAAUACUCCUGACUGACCGAUAGUGAACCAGUACCGUGAGGGAAAGGCGAAAAGAACCCCGGCGAGGGGAGUGAAAAAGAACCUGAAACCGUGUACGUACAAGCAGUGGGAGCACCUUCGGGUGUGACUGCGUACCUUUUGUAUAAUGGGUCAGCGACUUAUAUUCUGUAGCAAGGUUAACCGUAUAGGGGAGCCGCAGGGAAACCGAGUCUUAACUGGGCGUUAAGUUGCAGGGUAUAGACCCGAAACCCGGUGAUCUAGCCAUGGGCAGGUUGAAGGUUGGGUAACACUAACUGGAGGACCGAACCGACUAAUGUUGAAAAAUUAGCGGAUGACUUGUGGCUGGGGGUGAAAGGCCAAUCAAACCGGGAGAUAGCUGGUUCUCCCCGAAAGCUAUUUAGGUAGCGCCUCGUGAACUCAUCUUCGGGGGUAGAGCACUGUUUCGGCUAGGGGGUCAUCCCGACUUACCAACCCGAUGCAAACUACGAAUACCGAAGAAUGUUAUCACGGGAGACACACGGCGGGUGCUAACGUCCGUCGUGAAGAGGGAAACAACCCAGACCGCCAGCUAAGGUCCCAAAGUCAUGGUUAAGUGGGAAACGAUGUGGGAAGGCACAGACAGCCAGGAUGUUGGCUUAGAAGCAGCCAUCAUUUAAAGAAAGCGUAAUAGCUCACUGGUCGAGUCGGCCUGCGCGGAAGAUGUAACGGGGCUAAACCAUGCACCGAAGCUGCGGCAGCGACACUAUGUGUUGUUGGGUAGGGGAGCGUUCUGUAAGCCUGCGAAGGUGUGCUGUGAGGCAUGCUGGAGGUAUCAGAAGUGCGAAUGCUGACAUAAGUAACGAUAAAGCGGGUGAAAAGCCCGCUCGCCGGAAGACCAAGGGUUCCUGUCCAACGUUAAUCGGGGCAGGGUGAGUCGACCCCUAAGGCGAGGCCGAAAGGCGUAGUCGAUGGGAAACAGGUUAAUAUUCCUGUACUUGGUGUUACUGCGAAGGGGGGACGGAGAAGGCUAUGUUAGCCGGGCGACGGUUGUCCCGGUUUAAGCAUGUAGGCUGGUUAUCCAGGCAAAUCCGGAUAACCAAGGCUGAGGUGUGAUGACGAGGCACUACGGUGCUGAAGUAACAAAUGCCCU